CACGAUUAUGUAAUCGAAGCCUUUCUCUCUCGCUCUAUCUCUCUCAUGGCCGCUGCGCGAGAACGAGCUUGCGCGCUUGAUGAACGGGGCAUGAUAAAAACACAGUGAUUCGAAAACAGAGCUGCACUACAAUGGAAGGUAUCAGAGGAACCGACCUUGGCAAGAAGAGAGGCAGAAGAGAACAAGGAAGAGAAAAAGCUUCACUGUCCCAACCAACGCCAUUGAUCAUCAGUUGCAGAAAAGGAAAAAAAGUAUGCAGUCACAGUACCAAAGGAAGCUGCUUCUUCCAAACCUUUGGAGUUUUGGAUGACCGCUUGUGGACCGUUGGAUGAAGUCUUCUGUGAUCUCAUCGGGGCCGUUCAUAAACACAAGGCCAGCUCACUCACCAGUCUUUCAUAUAACUGUAUGGGUACGUAUAUUUAUUGUGUUGGUUUGGUAGCUACCAGUUGAUAUGAUCUAGUUUAAGUAAUUUGGAAGAAACUGAAGGGUGAAAAGGGAAAGAUACUUUAACAUUCUAUAAUCUUCAGAGUUAUAGCCGUGGGGAACAAGGUUUGAGGCAGAAAAGGCUAAGUUGAAGAGAAGAGAUUGGAUUUUAAAGAGUGAAGUGUUGGUUAAUAUCAGUUUAUGGAAACUAACUGCUUUUGUUAUUGAAUUUGUUUAAAGAAAGAAGAGCCUUUCGACAAUAAUAUCAAGAGAUUGAAUAAGACGAAAUCACUCCGGUCCGUUUUGGUAACAAUUUCGUUUUUGGUUUUUUUGUUAAAAAUUCUACUUGUUUGUCUCGUAGUGUUUUUCACCUUUAAAAAAACACA